rnacentral:rRNA from 1 species
CACCAGACUCCUACGGGAGGCAGCAGUGGGGAAUAUUGCACAAUGGGGGAAACCCUGAUGCAGCGACGCCGCGUGAGUGAAGAAGUAUCUCGGUACGUAAAGCUCUAUCAGCAGGGAAGAAAAUGACGGUACCUGACUAAGAAGCCCCGGCUAACUACGUGCCAGCAGCCGCGGUAAUACGUAGGGGGCAAGCGUUAUCCGGAUUUACUGGGUGUAAAGGGAGCGUAGACGGUGCAGCAAGUCUGAUGUGAAAGGUCGGGGCCCAACCCCGGGACUGCAUUGGAAACUGUUGAACUGGAGUACAGGAGAGGUAAGCGGAAUUCCUAGUGUAGCGGUGAAAUGCGUAGAUAUUAGGAGGAACACCAGUGGCGAAGGCGGCCUGCUGGACGAUGACUGACGUUGAGGCUCGAAAGCGUGGGGAGCAAACAGGAUUAGAUACCCUAGUAU